AGUUUGUCUAUACGUUAAAUGGGACCUAUUGGCAUGAUAUUUAUUAGUUUAGAGACGAAGGCAUAAACUGAUUGCAUAAAAAGAAGUAUCAGCUACAAGGUCAUAAGUUCUGCAAUUGCUAAUCAAAACAUUAUUACAGAUUUUAGACUUAGGAGCGAGUGAACGAUUCAAGUUUUAGUUGAUAACUCCUAUAGGCAUGCUUUCUCGGC
rnacentral:lncRNA from 1 species